rnacentral:rRNA from 1 species
AGAUCGAACUGAAGAGUUUGAUCCUGGCUCAGAUUGAACGCUGGCGGCAUGCCUUACACAUGCAAGUCGAACGGUAACGGGCCUUCGGGUGCCGACGAGUGGCGAACGGGUGAGUAAUGCAUCGGAACGUGCCCAGUGGUGGGGGAUAGCCCGGCGAAAGCCGGAUUAAUACCGCAUACGACCUGUGGGUGAAAGCGGGGGACCGUAAGGCCUCGCGCCAUUGGAGCGGCCGAUGUCAGAUUAGGUUGUUGGUGGGGUAAAGGCCUACCAAGCCGACGAUCUGUAGCUGGUCUGAGAGGACGACCAGCCACACUGGGACUGAGACACGGCCCAGACUCCUACGGG